UACGAAGGGGGCUAGCGUUGCUCGGAAUCACUGGGCGUAAAGGGUGCGUAGGCGGGUCUUUAAGUCAGAGGUGAAAUCCUGGAGCUCAACUCCAGAACUGCCUUUGAUACUGAGGAUCUUGAGUUCGGGGAGAGGUGAGUGGAACUGCGAGUGUAGAGGUGAAAUUCGUAGAUAUUCGCAAGAACGACCAGUCGGCGGAAGGCGGAGCUCGCUGGCCCAGCUAGUACCCGUGAACUGCUUGGACGGGCCACGGAAAAGGCCGACUG
rnacentral:rRNA from 1 species